rnacentral:rRNA from 1 species
GUGACUGCGUACCUUUUGUAUAAUGGGUCAGCGACUUAUAUUCUGUAGCAAGGUUAACCGAAUAGGGGAGCCGAAGGGAAACCGAGUCUUAACUGGGCGUUAAGUUGCAGGGUAUAGACCCGAAACCCGGUGAUCUAGCCAUGGGCAGGUUGAAGGUUGGGUAACACUAACUGGAGGACCGAACCGACUAAUGUUGAAAAAUUAGCGGAUGACUUGUGGCUGGGGGUGAAAGGCCAAUCAAACCGGGAGAUAGCUGGUUCUCCCCGAAAGCUAUUUAGGUAGCGCCUCGUGAAUUCAUCUCCGGGGGUAGAGCACUGUUUCGGCAAGGGGGUCAUCCCGACUUACCAACCCGAUGCAAACUGCGAAUACCGGAGAAUGUUAUCACGGGAGACACACGGCGGGUGCUAACGUCCGUCGUGAAGAGGGAAACAACCCAGACCGCCAGCUAAGGUCCCAAAGUCAUGGUUAAGUGGGAAACGAUGUGGGAAGGCCCAGACAGCCAGGAUGUUGGCUUAGAAGCAGCCAUCAUUUAAAGAAAGCGUAAUAGCUCACUGGUCGAGUCGGCCUGCGCGGAAGAUGUAACGGGGCUAAACCAUGCACCGAAGCUGCGGCAGCGACGCUUAUGCGUUGUUGGGUAGGGGAGCGUUCUGUAAGCCUGUGAAGGUGUGCUGUGAGGCAUGCUGGAGGUAUCAGAAGUGCGAAUGCUGACAUAAGUAACGAUAAAGCGGGUGAAAAGCCCGCUCGCCGGAAGACCAAGGGUUCCUGUCCAACGUUAAUCGGGGCAGGGUGAGUCGACCCCUAAGGCGAGGCCGAAAGGCGUAGUCGAUGGGAAACAGGUUAAUAUUCCUGUACUUGGUGUUACUGCGAAGGGGGGACGGAGAAGGCUAUGUUGGCCGGGCGACGGUUGUCCCGGUUUAAGCGUGUAGGCUGGUUUUCCAGGCAAAUCCGGAAAAUCAAGGCUGAGGCGUGAUGACGAGGCACUACGGUGCUGAAGCAACAAAUGCCCUGCUUCCAGGAAAAGCCUCUAAGCAUCAGGUAACAUCAAAUCGUACCCCAAACCGACACAGGUGGUCAGGUAGAGAAUACCAAGGCGCUUGAGAGAACUCGGGUGAAGGAACUAGGCAAAAUGGUGCCGUAACUUCGGGAGAAGGCACGCUGAUAUGUAGGUGAAGUCCCUUGCGGAUGGAGCUGAAAUCAGUCGAAGAUACCAGCUGGCUGCAACUGUUUAUUAAAAACACAGCACUGUGCAAACACGAAAGUGGACGUAUACGGUGUGACGCCUGCCCGGUGCCGGAAGGUUAAUUGAUGGGGUCAGCGCAAGCGAAGCUCUUGAUCGAAGCCCCGGUAAACGGCGGCCGUAACUAUAACGGUCCUAAGGUAGCGAAAUUCCUUGUCGGGUAAGUUCCGACCUGCACGAAUGGCGUAAUGAUGGCCAGGCUGUCUCCACCCGAGACUCAGUGAAAUUGAACUCGCUGUGAAGAUGCAGUGUACCCGCGGCAAGACGGAAAGACCCCGUGAACCUUUACUAUAGCUUGACACUGAACAUUGAGCCUUGAUGUGUAGGAUAGGUGGGAGGCUUUGAAGUGUGGACGCCAGUCUGCAUGGAGCCGACCUUGAAAUACCACCCUUUAAUGUUUGAUGUUCUAACGUGGACCCGUGAUCCGGGUUGCGGACAGUGUCUGGUGGGUAGUUUGACUGGGGCGGUCUCCUCCUAAAGAGUAACGGAGGAGCACGAAGGUUGGCUAAUCCUGGUCGGACAUCAGGAGGUUAGUGCAAUGGCAUAAGCCAGCUUGACUGCGAGCGUGACGGCGCGAGCAGGUGCGAAAGCAGGUCAUAGUGAUCCGGUGGUUCUGAAUGGAAGGGCCAUCGCUCAACGGAUAAAAGGUACUCCGGGGAUAACAGGCUGAUACCGCCCAAGAGUUCAUAUCGACGGCGGUGUUUGGCACCUCGAUGUCGGCUCAUCACAUCCUGGGGCUGAAGUAGGUCCCAAGGGUAUGGCUGUUCGCCAUUUAAAGUGGUACGCGAGCUGGGUUUAGAACGUCGUGAGACAGUUCGGUCCCUAUCUGCCGUGGGCGCUGGAGAACUGAGGGGGGCUGCUCCUAGUACGAGAGGACCGGAGUGGACGCAUCACUGGUGUUCGGGUUGUCAUGCCAAUGGCACUGCCCGGUAGCUAAAUGCGGAAGAGAUAAGUGCUGAAAGCAUCUAAGCACGAAACUUGCCCCGAGAUGAGUUCUCCCUGAC